rnacentral:rRNA from 1 species
CAAGGAAGGCAGCAGGCGCGCAAAUUACCCCACUCCCGGAACGGGGAGGUAGUGACGAAAAAUAACAAUACGGGACUCUUUUGAGACCCCGUAAUUGGAAUGAGUACACUCUAAAUCCUUUAACGAGGAUCAAUUGGAGGGCAAGUCUGGUGCCAGCAGCUGCGGUAAUUCCAGCUCCAAUAGCGUAUAUUAAAGUUGUUGCGGUUAAAAAGCUCGUAGUUGGAUCUCAGCUCGAGACGGAUGGUCCGCCUACCGGUGGUUACUGUCUGUUCUCAGCAUUCAGCCGGUUUCUCUUGAUGAUCUUCACCGGUUGUCUUGGGUGACCGGCAAGUUUACUUUGAAAAAAUUAGAGUGCUCAAAGCAGGCGUGAAAGCCUGAAUAAUGGUGCAUGGAAUAAUGGAAUAGGACCUCGGUUCUAUUUUGUUGGUUUUCGGAACACGAGGUAAUGAUUAAGAGGGACAGACGGGGGCAUUCGUAUUGCGACGCUAGAGGUGAAAUUCUUGGACCGUCGCAAGACGAACUACUGCGAAAGCAUUUGCCAAGAAUGUUUCCAUUAAUCAAGAACGAAAGUUAGAGGUUCGAAGGCGAUCAGAUACCGCCCUAGUUCUAACCAUAAACGAUGCCAGCCAGCGAUCCGGCUGUGUUCCUCAAAUGACACGCCGGGCAGCUUCCGGGAAACCAAAGCUUUUGGGUUCCGGGGGAA